GUGGACAUAGUUUAAACAAAACACUAAGUUGUGGCCUUAGCAAUAAGAGCUUAACCCUCUUUGCACACC
rnacentral:tRNA from 1 species